ensembl:lncRNA
GGCAGUACUUGUACAGUCAUGUCCACAGUUACAUGCAUAUGGCAAAGCAUACUUCAGCUUUUGGUUUUGAAACUCAUCUCCCACUAAGGCCAAAGCCCUGACAUCCUUACUGCCAUGUGUCUGGGAUUUUGUUUCAGCGUAUGUCCAGUCUUAUCUUAUGGGUUGAACACCUUCAGUAUGUAUAUGUGCAAUUAGCAGUUUGUUCUUGCAUGGGUCUGUCAGGGCUUGGGAGACAUUUGGCAUGUGCAUGGGUAGGUUCCCCUGGCUUGAUUUUUCUCUGUGAGGAACCUGGUUCAUAUGCAUCGGCACUGCUCUGCAGCCGAGCCCUCAUCUGAAAGUAAUUGAGUGGCUCUCUUCAAACCUGCUUUGUUGCCCUAACCAAAACAUUAGUGUGAGCCCAGUCCCUGACAGCUCACUGCGGUUGGCUCUCUGUGGGCUGAUUUGCGUGCUGUGUUGACUGAGUUUCCUCUCAGCUCUAAAGACUGUGUAUCAUUUAUCUAUUUUUUUUACAGGUGUCAUUAUGCAAAUUAUGUAUGCAUACAAAUAUAAACACAUAUACACAAAUCUUACGUGGAUAAAUAUGUAAAAACAAACUUCAAUUAUACCUACAAACAUCCAUGUAUAUGUAUAUAUUUGCCAUAAUAUAUUAUUGCAAAGGUAUUAUCUCCACAGUUGAUGAUGGUCUGAAUGCCAUUGCAGCUACUGUUGUCCUCCUUUGGUUGGAGUGAUACCCGUCCAGCACUGCCCUUUAUUAGAAGAUUAUCCGAACUUCUCAGUUAUGCAAACAAACAAAAAUGUAUUCUGUAGGUUUGUUACAUUGGUCACAAUGUGAAGUGCAUUUGUAUGAAUUGAAAGCACGUGGGACUGCAAGCUAUAGCUACAUUACAAGUUUCCAAGGAUAUACUGCUGUCAAUGUCAUUUUUUUUUAGCAAAAGUAUCUUCACCAAACCUCAAACUACACUUCAAGAAGUCAAGAAAUAAUAAUGGUGGUUUGAGGCAUGAAACAAAGGAUGGUAUUGUUGUGUGGAGGAAGCAAGCACAACCUAGGUAAGGUGAAGGAGGGAACUCGUUGCUGUUGUGCAGUUCUGCAGCAGGCAAGACCUGAGCUGCAUUAAAAAAAAGCAUUUAUCUAUGGCAAUGUUUUUGUUACCUUUUUGAUACUUUAGAAAUAUUCCUAAUUCAUUGUCUUCCAGGUAGAGAGGUUAUUUCUAUUAUAUAAAUGAUAUUAAAUAUGUAUAUUAAAAUGUCCUUUGGACAGUUCUAACUUGUGGGAUGAAAUGGCAAGGCAGAUGGGGAAAAUGUCUGUGGGAACAGGGGAGUAACUGGAAGAUAAGUGGAAAAAAACAGGAUCUGACUAUUAAAGACAUCUGGGAGGUUUGUAUGUCUAAAAAAUUUGGGGAUUUACAAUCACAACAUGCUAUAAAACUGGAGUUGCAAAUCAAACUUCUCUUACUUUAUAUGCCUUGCAGAGCCAUGUUUUGUGAGUCAAACACAGAACAAAAUAGAAACCCCCAAAACACCCCAACCACACUGGGAAGUCACCCAGAGAGAAGAGAUUACGUUUAGAAGAGCUUUUGUUCCCAGUGAGCUAAAGAUAUUAAUACGCAUCUGGUAUACAAUGAUAUCAGCAUACUGAAUUGCAGGAAGAGCAGGUUAUUGGGGAGUCAGGAUCUGUUGUUGAGAUUUGUUUGUACUCAGUAUUUAGCAAAAAGAAAAGGAAUAUAAUUAGAAGACUGUGAACUGGGGUAAGAGUUGUUUCUUCUAAAGAAGAAACAAUGAGGAGAGGAUGUCUGCUGAAAUAGUCUCUUCAUGCAGGCAGCUCAGAGAUGUCCACGGAAGGAAAUCUGUUCAGUAGCCCAUAAUCGCUCUGAGUUCCAUGUAGAUGUUGAUCUUUUGUUCAGCUGAUUUCCUUUUGGUAGCUGUUUUCUGCUUUGCAAUCAAGAGAUAGAAUAAACGGGACUCCUGCUUUUCCUUAUUCUUAUCAAACGACAGAGGAAUCUUAAGGCCAGGUGUUGGUGUAUGCUAGUUGCUCUCCAGGGAACAAAAGCAGCAAGCAGGUGGAGACAGAAUGGUUCGCUUCCAAAUGUUUCAGAGUUCUUGGGCUUGGGAUGUGUUGCCUCCUAGCUCAGUUCGACGCAAGGUGGUGGCUUGCAAAAGGAAGCCUCCCAUGGCAGCCUUCAGCCAGCAUAGCUUUACCAGGCUCCCGUUGAAAUGAAGUGAGCGUUUAACUCAGAUGAUAACUGUG